AUACGUAGGUGGCAAGCGUUGUUCGGAAUCAUUGGGCGUAAAGAGCGCGUAGGUGGCUAGUCAGGUCUGAUGUGAAAUCCUGGGGCUCAACUCCAGGCCUGCAUCGGAAACCGGCUUGCUAGAGUCUGGGAGAGGAGAGUGGAAUUCCUGGUGUAGCGGUGAAAUGCGUAGAUAUCAGGAGGAACACCGGUAGCGAAGGCGGCUCUCUGGAACAGUACUGACACUGAGGCGCGAAAGCUAGGGGAGCGAACAGGAUUAGAUACCCUGGUAGUCCUAGCCGUAAACGAUGGACACUAGGUGUCGGGGGUGUCGACUCCCUCGGUGCCGAAGCUAACGCAUUAAGUGUCCCGCCUGGGGAGUACGGCCGCAAGGCUAAA
rnacentral:rRNA from 1 species